CCCACGUGCUGCGGAUUAAUGCACUUCCGGCGUGAAGAACGCUUUCUGGAGUGCGGGUGCGGAGGGUGAACUCAAAGGUGAUUUGCAGCAGAAGAGGAAUAUGCUAAUCAUCAAAAUCCACAGAUAAUCCUAAAGCACAAUUUUACCUUCUCUUCACAGUCUCUGAGCUACACUCAAAACCUCUUUCCACAACUGCCAAGGAGGCUUGAUUGAGUUUCAGCAUUAUUUCCAGACCUCUCCAAGUGAAGCCAUUAAUAAUCAGUGAAAUGGCCCAAAAAGAGCACUGAAAGGAACAUGAGUUUCAAAAAUCUGCUAACUGCAUCAUCAGUCUCUGAUUGAUUGAGAACUGAAUAUCAAGGCCAUGGUACCUAUGCCUGUUUCACACACCUACAACACUCUGGAGUAGGAAUGAACCUAUAACAAUGACAUCAAGAUAUUGCAUAACCCUAAGGAGACAGGGUGAAGCUGGCUCAGUCUGGAGCCGUGUUGGUUGUCAUCCAUCAAUCUGCAAAGUCAGGAACAUCCAUAGUCAGAGCCUCUGACAACCAGAUCCAGUUUAGACUUGUUUCCAAGGGACACAGGUACCUGGGACUUUCUGGACAGAAGAAGAGCAACAGAGACUGGAUGAUGGCUCGCACAGCAGACAAACCAAGAAGGAUAUGCCA